rnacentral:rRNA from 1 species
CACGUAGGGCGCAAGCGUUGUCCGGAAUUAUUGGGCGUAAAGAGCUCGUAGGCGGUCUGUUGCGUCCGCUGUGAAAACUCGGGGCUUAACCCCGAGCCUGCAGUGGAUACGGGCAGACUAGAGGUAGGUAGGGGAGAAUGGAAUUCCUGGUGUAGCGGUGAAAUGCGCAGAUAUCAGGAAGAACACCCGUGGCGAAGGCGGCUCUCUGGGACGGUACUGACGCUGAGACGCGAAAGCGUGGGGAGCGAACAGG